CCACGCGUAUGAAUAUCUGAUAAUUAGCUUCUUCUUCACUCACUUCGACAAUGUGGGAAAUUAAAUCACUUAUUUCUGCAAAGCUUAUUAAUGGUUGACUAUUAAGAAGCUGAACAUGUAGCAAUAUUUAGGAAUUUAAAGCUAUUUUCCCAUCAUUUCUGAUUGCAGAUGCAUCAAUUCGAUGCUUGAUCAUGCUACAAACUGCUCAGUCUUUUGACCAAUGGAUUUGGGAGGACCAAACUGCUUGUUUUUUUUUAUGAUGAAUCACCUAAUUACCUGUUGGUCUACUGCUGCGCAUGAUGGUUUUUUGUUUUAGAGCUGCUUACUUUAUACAACCCACAGCUCAGUCUUUGGCCCAGUGGUUUCAGAGGGCCAAAUUGCUUGCUUUUGGAUGAAGCACCUAAUUACCCAUCGGUCUGUCACUGUUCAUAAUGGGUAAAAACGUUCCUCUUUUAUACCAUGUGCUUACUGAUAAUAGGAUCUUCAGGUUUGUCAUUAGAUAGAUUUUUAUUGAAAAAUGUACAAGGUCCAUUCAAUUACCUGUUGUGUUUUAGCUUAGUUUGUUUUGACUUGCUUUGUCUACUGUUUUGUAUUUGUAUAAAUACAAGAGAGUUCAUUUGGUUUCCUCAUUACAAAAAUACACACCACAGUUCCAUGGAGGUUACAUUAGAGGUAGUGUGAAUUUAGAUAAAGGUCCUAGUGCUAAAGUUAACAACAACCCACCUCUGGAUAACUAUACUUUAAUAUUACUAAAUAUGAACAUUUAUGAACUUGCUUGAAGGAUCUGUUCAGAAUCAUGCACACAAUAAUAAAUUCUUUAACUUCACUUUCCAUGGUUAGAUUGAUUCUUGUCAUCAUGGCUUAUGUACAUACAUUAUGUCACUGGACUUAAAUUUGCUAAAUCACUGAUAUGUUUACUGCCUAAUUAUUAUUUUAAAAUCUUGAUAGCCUAAUUAACUCAGUGCGAUUUACUGAACAACAUUUUGUUGUUUGUUUGGUCUACACCAAUUGUGAAGUAAGGAUUUAGUUACAUCUGUUUUACUAAAUUGAUUGGCUAAUUAACCUGGUUGUGUUUUGUUAAACUAUGUUUUUGAUAUUGUUUGGUUUAGAGUGAGUGUGAAGUCUGGAAUUGGUUACAUGGGUUUUGCUUAAACUCUAGUUUUGAGCUUUUGGUUACUAAUAAUAAAUCAUAAAAUUGUGAUAGUCUUCAAGGGAUUAGUUUUUGGUGAAGGUAUUGAAUAUUCCUUUUUGUAUUUGCCAUUUCUAUUGUAGAGUUAUGAGCUUGCAAUGGGUGGAGGUGCAGAUGCUGCUGUAUAUUAUUUAGAUCUGAGAUCGAAGAAGCAAGAUACAAGAAUGAAUGGGGUUUUUGUUUUUGUCUUUUUUAUUUAUAUUGUAAUUUUUUUAAAAUUUAUAUUGUAAUUUUUUUUUGUAUUUAUAUGUUGUAAUUUUUUUUUGAUUAUGUAUUGCAAAUUUUCGAUGAUAUUGAUGUUGUUUUAAUCGAUA